GACGAACGCUGGCGGCGUGCUUAACACAUGCAAGUCGAACGGAAAGGCCCUGCUUGCAGGGUACUCGAGUGGCGAACGGGUGAGUAACACGUGGGUGAUCUGUGCUCCACUUUGGGAUAAGCCUGGGGAACUGGGUCGAAUAUAGGAGAGGGGCCAUCCUUAUUGUGGUGGGUGGAAAGUUUUUUGGGUGUGGGAUGAGAUCGCGGCCUAUCAGGUUGUUGGUGGGGUAAUGGCCUACCAAGGCGGCGACGGGUAGCCGGCCUGAGAGGGUGGACGGCCAAAUUGGGGCUGGGAUAAGGCCCAGAAUCCUACGGGAGGCAGCAGGGGGGGAUAUUGCAAAAAGGGCGGGAGCCUGAUGCAGCGAACCCGCGGGGGGGAUGACGGGCUUCGGGUUGUAAAAUCCUUUCGCUAGGGAAGGAGCUUUUUGUGACGGUACCUAGAUAAGAAGCACCGGCUAACUACGUG
rnacentral:rRNA from 1 species